rnacentral:rRNA from 1 species
CAGCAGCCGCGGGAAUACGAAGGGUGCAAGCGUUACUCGGAAUUACUGGGCGUAAAGCGUGCGUAGGUGGUGGUUUAAGUCCGUUGUGAAAGCCCUGGGCUCAACCUGGGAAUUGCAGUGGAUACUGGGUCACUAGAGUGUGGUAGAGGAUAGUGGAAUUUCCGGUGUAGCAGUGAAAUGCGUAGAGAUCGGAAGGAACAUCUGUGGCGAAGGCGACUAUCUGGGACAACACUGACGCUGAGGCACGAAAGCGUGGGGAGCAAACAGGAUUAGAUACCCCUGUAGUCCCUGUCUCUUAUAC